rnacentral:rRNA from 1 species
UACGUAGGGUGCAAGCGUUGUCCGGAAUUAUUGGGCGUAAAGAGCUCGUAGGCGGUUUGUCGCGUCUGCUGUGAAAACCCGAGGCUCAACCUCGGGCCUGCAGUGGGUACGGGCAGACUAGAGUGUGGUAGGGGAGACUGGAAUUCCUGGUGUAGCGGUGAAAUGCGCAGAUAUCAGGAGGAACACCGAUGGCGAAGGCAGGUCUCUGGGCCGAUACUGACGCUGAGGAGCGAAAGCGUGGGGAGCGAACAGG